rnacentral:lncRNA from 1 species
UGUCAAUCUCCAAGUGGAGUGUCAUGUGCCUUUCACUGAGGAGUGGCUUCCGUCUGGCCACUCUACCAUAAAGGCCUGAUUGGUGGAGUGCUGCAGAGAUGGUUGUCCUUCUGGAAGAUUCUCCCAUCUACUACAGAGGAACUCUAGAGCUCUGUCAGAGCGACCGUCGGGUUCUUGGUCACCUCCCUGACGAAUGUCUAAAAAGCUGUUUUCGCUUCGUCAUUAUGGAGCAUUGUGUGUACAUUGCUGAGAUGUUUUUAUUUAAUUUAUCCAUUUUAGAAUAAGGCUGUAACUUAACAAAAUGUGGAAAAAGCCAAGAGGUCUGAAUACUUUCCGAAGGCACUGUAUGUACCAGAAAGAGCACCCCCAUAUUCAUGCUGGACGGGAAGACGAGGUACAUUUGGAGAGGGGUCAUUUUUUGGCAGAGGAAAGACGGAAGAAAAAGUGUGCCUCAGGUAGAGCAUGGCGCUUGCAACGCCAGGGUUGAGGGUUCGAUUCUCACGGAGGGCCGGUACAAAAGCAUCAAGUGUCUCCGGGUUCGAAGCUGGCUAUUCACGAAACAUCCGACACAUCUCUUUUGAUCUCUUAUUUCCGCGAUAACCCAGUUUCCUGUCUGUCAGCCGGAGACGGAGAUGAGGACGAGAGCGCUUUGAUUGCGCUGGGGCUGCUGCGCGUUUGCGGGUGCAACAGGGAGGAGACAAGUGAAAAUACAGUAGAAGAGUACAAGAGAGAGACAGGAUCCAGGUUAAAGGUCAUCCAACUUGUUUACCCUGAGUGAGGGAUUCUGUUAUGAUGAACCCAGAAGCAGACCAGGACAAGGUGAGUUGAACCAAGGUGAGUAUUUAUUUACAGACUCAAAUGUGAAAGCAGAAUAAUCCAGGAGACGGAGCGGGCAGCGGAGGUGAGUUGGUGAGAGUGAAUAGGCAGAUCCAAUGAUGUCACAGAAGCCCCGACGACCAGGCAGGGGUGGGGUGAAUGUUCCGGGAGAAUGACUGUAGACAGAGUAAGCGGAGCUAACGAUCCAGCAGGGAAUGGAUGUCAGGUCAGGGCUUAUGAAGAGAAGAGGUGAUGAUCAGGACCAGGUGUGCAGAUAGCUGAUGAGAUGCAGGUGCGGGUAAUUGAUAGAUCUCCCGCCUAGCUUCGUCGCCCGGCAACCAGACAGGGUGCGUUCAGGAACCUCAGGAAACAGACUCCGAGACAGAAAAUAGGCAACUCAGGCAGAAAACAGACUCAGGAAGCGGGAUUCAUGACAUCCAAAACUUGUAAUGAAAUCCAAAACUUUCCAGGUUUCCAACACCCAGCAAUAAUUAUGUUUGUUGCAGAUACUAAAUUAAAAGGACAUUACAAUUGUUUGUG